UUUACUGGACCACAACGCUAACGGUGAAAUAACCUUAGUUGUCGGAUAAUUUAUAAAAUUUUAGGCGGGUGAUGCAAUCCCCUAUAAAUAGGGCCGCUCCCCACUGAGUUCCCUCAUUUCCCUCUGACCACCACAGAGGGAGGACAUGGGACUCAGGGGUGGAAGAAAAUCAUUUAUUGGCUGUCCAUCGGGACAGGAUGGUGCUGGAUUGACCCUUGGGGGGUCUUAGAGGCUGGGAGGUGCCUCUGGGGGACACCAGGGAUUGCGGGGAUUCCACACAGGGGGGCGCUAAUCCAUCAUAUUAUGGAAAGAAGUAUAAAAUUAUAAAGGGGCAGCACCUGAUAAAAGGGCAUUAACUGGCAAUUACCUACCUGUGUGCUCCUCCGUUGUCUUCGUCUUCCUCCGGGUUGGCUGCCUGGUCUUUGGAUCCUUUUCUUGGUCUCUCCAUUGCCGUCUUCUCCUGCAAAACACAAAAAAUAGCAAUUAUUGUCACCAUAUCCAGGGGGUUAUGUGUGGUGUAAGGGGGUGGAUGUUGGACGGGGCCAUUCAGGCCCAUGCAUAACGGUAUUCCUGGGAGUGGGGGUGCGGGACUGUCUCCUGGAAACGGCAGUCAGGACAUUUAACUAUAACCCUAACCGUAACUGUAUUUAUAUGAGGUUGAAUGACCCACCUACAUUUUUAAUAAUUUUCCUCCAACCAGGGUUGGAAUUGCCCUUAUGGUUGUGGUCCAGGUAAGUAAGGGUUAGGGCCCUAGGAUUAAAAUUACCCAUAAGGUCAUAGUCUUAAGGUUUGCAAAAUGGUAUGGGAUGUGCUGAUUGGGCAUUGUUUUUCGCACUGGGGACAUAAAUGCGCAAAUUAUUCUCUGCUGGUGCAGUUUUUGUGGUAGUGUCUCGAGUACGCAGAGUAUGCAACCCUUGACAUGUAAGUACAUUUAUUUACAGUUUACUCUUUUACUCUAUAGAUUUUUAUAAUUCCGUGAUUCAGCAAAUUAUAAUUAACAUCUGCUUUGGUAACAAUUUUAUUAUGGUACAUAGGGAAAAGUUCCGCAUCGCCUUUGUCAAGCUUUGCGUGUGCAAAGUAAUGCUUAGUGCUUUUGGCUUUUACUUGGACAAAGUUAUGUGGGGCUUUGUUUGGGCAAAGUUAUGUGGGGCACUUGUCGGCUUUGUUUAGGCAAAGUUAUGUACGGUACUUGUCGGCUUUGUUUAGGCAAAGUUAUGCGGGGCAUUUGUCGGGUUUUGUUUGGGCUAAGUUAUGCCUGGCACUUGUCACGCUUUGUUUGGGCAAAGUUAUGCGGAGUUAGGGUUAUGGUUAGAAACAAAAUGUUUCUUAUGACCCGUAAGUGGUAGUGCAUUUAGAAAGAAAGACGCUAUCCCAAAAAACACUGCUAGUUACACUGUGGCCAGUUUGGAUAGGUUUUGGAUAGGUCUUGGAUAGGUUUUGGAUAUAUUUGGCACAAGUCGUGUGAAUAAAAUAUAGAUUUUCCUCCAGAUGUGUGGUGAUGUGUGACAAAAUGUUUCUUAUGACCUGUAAGUGGUAAUGCAUUUAGAAAUAAAGACACUAUCCCAAAAAAACUGCUUGUUACACUGUGGCCAUUUUGGAUUGGUUUCAGAUAGGUUUUGGAUAUGAAAGGCUCCCAGUCACACCAUUUGUUCAUUCCUCUGUAAAACCUGUUCUGCUACAUCAAAUGACAUGAAGUUGGGCACACAUGUAGAAAACAAGUUAGGGAACCACAUAUUGAAAAUUGGACCUAAUCCAUCAUGUACUUCUUUAAAAUAUUUGCAAAAAUCCAAGACACAAAGACAGGUUUUUGUAUUUUUCCAGCUGUUUUUGUUAUAUUCUCAUGUCCAUAAAUUAUACAGUUAUUCAUUUUGGUUAUUGAGCUUCCAACAAUUGAUUGUAAAGGGGUCAGCUUUGAUUUUAGGUAUCAGACAUGUGUCUGUGACUUUUACAUCUCUAGUUAUAAGGUAAUUAAUCCAAAGAGGGAAGUAAUGCCCCCUGCAAUGGGCCCCCUGCAAAGGGGCCCCUGGUGCACCCCAUAGAGUUAACCUGUAAUUUAAAAUUAAGCAUUUUAAAUAAGCAACUUUCCACUUAAUGCAUAAAGCAAUGAAAUGCACUGUGAAGUAUAUGCAAUCAAAUGUGCUUCUGUACAGAUGGUCAAUCGUUGUUCGGAAAUGUUUUUGAUUUCUAGAUCUAAUUGACAAUGACGAGGAAGCCGCAGGCUUGCCCCCUCUGCGCUAUCUUAACGUGUCAGUCCACCUGCGUGAUGUCCACCGGGUGGACAGCACAAAGGAGAGGAGGCUGCUUUAUGCGGCACUGUCGGGCAGGUAUGCUGGGCCACUGAAUUGUCCAGUGGCCCACUGCCUGUCCACGAACUUGGUGAGGCUGGACCGCCAUUUGCGGGUCCGGCACAACCUGGAGGGCGAUGAAUUGAAAAAUCAGGUGACCGCCGCAAAAAAGAUUGCAGCGAGGCAGUCCCUGCAGGAGUUCAGAGCAAAACGCUCUGAGGAAAGCGAUGAGCUGACGCUGCUGAAACAGAGUGUCCACCAAUUGGAGGAGCAGGCGGCUCACUGCUCGCGGCACCACCACGCAGCUUCGUCGCCACAGGCUCUGUCAUCUCAAAGUACAAGGAGAAUGUGUUCCGGGUCGGCUCGUCUGGGAAAUGUUCCCAAAAUCAGCAGCAAGAGCUGAAAUAUAUAAAAAACUUUGUGUUUUACAUGUGGGGUAAUGACGAGGCCCCAUCUCCCGCCACCAAAAUUAUUGGGCACAGACAGCUGGUAAAAGAGAACAAGAGCCAGAGGAUGCCGACCCGGGACAACCUGGCUGAGCUGGCGACGGAGCUGCAUUCCCGGAUCCCCGACUGCCUGGAUGCCCUAGUAGCCUGCCCUGACAGCAUUAGGACCAGGAACAAAUGCAUAGGUGCUCUUGCCACCUAUGCACUUGUCAACAGUGGCCACCGCAGCAGCGUCCUGAUCAACAUGUUGGUCAGGGAGGUCACUGAGGCACAGGCAGUCGGAGACCACGUUGUGAUUCACGUGAGGGAUCGCAAGACGUCAGGCACCUUCGGCAGGGCAAACCUGGCCCUGUCAAAGGAGUACGGCUGGUUUAUUGCUUUUGCAAACCUACGUCCUCAGCUGCCCGGCUUCUCGUCUGCCACCGGGACCUUCUUUUUUACCUCGUCAGGGCAGCCAAUGAGAAAGUUGAAUGACAUGGUAAAGGAGAUGUGCCUGGAGUGUGGCAUGCCACAGCCGUUCAGCAUCUCUAAGAUUAGAUCUUAGAUCGAGGAGGUGGGCACCAGUGGAUCACCUUGUGAUCCCUCACCUGUGCACGACGGCGACUGUGGCGAGGGUCGGGAAGAGACCGCUGGGGGGCAGGUGCUGCCCCCAGCAGAUCAUGGAGAAGCUAACAGUGUCACAAUGGCUGUUGGUGGUGGCCAAGAAGGCCAAUCCUCUCCAGUCGAGAGUGAACUGGAGCAGUCAGUGUUGGGGCUGCAGCUGGAGGAGGAGGAAGAGGAGUAGCAUUGUGAAUUUCCCAGUCCUCUGCCAAAGGCAGUAGCUCAUUCAAAGAUACUUUAUAGGAGGAAGCUGCAAUACCCUGACUGCUUCAAAGAGCUUCUGAGAAAUGAAUUUAAAGAACACCUUCAUUCCCCAGUAAAAAUGCAAACGAUAAACACUGUUUUAAGUCAGUCCCCUGACUUUUAAAUAAAUGUAAAGCAAUGGAGCUGACAAUUGACAAUGUAAGGGGACUGCUAAAACAAUAGCAACGAUCUAAUUGACAAUGACGAGGCCAAGCCGCAGGCUUGCCCCCUCUGCCGGGUGCGCUAUCUUAACGUGUCAGUCCACCUGCGUGAUGUCCACCGGGUGGACAGCACAAAGGAGAGGAGGCUGCUUUAUGCGGCACUGUCGGGCAGGUAUGCUGGGCCACUGAAUUGUCCAGUGGCCCACUGCCUGUCCAUGAACUUGGUGAGGCUGGACCGCCAUUUGCGGGUCCGGCACAACCUGGAGGGCGAUGAAUUGAAAAAUCAGGUAUUCCAUUCCAUUAAAUUCAUUUGUAUCUGUUCAGGUUUCUAUAGCACUUCAUUGUCUCAGCAUUUCACAUGAUCAUCUCUUGCUGGAAACCUAGGUGACCGCCGCAAAAAAGAUUGCAGCGAGGCAGUCCCUGCAGGAGUUCAGAGCAAAACGCUCUGAGGAAAGCGAUGAGCUGACACUGCUGAAACAGAGUGUCCGCCAAUUGGAGGAGCAGGCGGCUCACUGCUCGCGGCACCACCACGCAGUUUCGUCGCCACAGGUGGCCUCGGUGCUUUUCUCCGGUAAUAAUAAUAGUAAUAAUAAUUACAAUUGCAAUGUCAUGAUAAAGCUCAUAAGACUUGACAGAUGCAUGUCAGUUUUUUUCAUGUCUUGUCUUGUAUGUUAGUCAAUGCAGUUCAGACGAGUCACUGUAAAGAUAUCUGGUCAUCUGUUUAUUUGUUUUCUGAUUUAUAUUUAUUUUCUCACUUAUGAUAUACAGAAUAAUUUUUUUUAAUUGCUUUUUUUUCCUUAUGUAUUUUUUGCUGAAUU